UCUUGGGUUGUAAACCUCAAAACUUAGGGAAGAAAAAAAUGACGGUACCUAAUGUAAGCAUCGGCUAACUCCGUGCCAGCAGCCGCGGUAAUACGGAGGAUGCAAGCGUUAUCCGGAAUCAUUGGGCGUAAAGAGUCCGUAGGUGGCACUUCAAGUCUGCUUUCAAAGACCGAAGCUCAACUUCGGAAAGGGAGUGGAAACUGAAGAGCUAGAGUAUAGUAGGGGUAGAGGGAAUUCCUAGUGUAGCGGUGAAAUGCGUAGAGAUUAGGAAGAACACCAGUGGCGAAGGCGCUCUACUGGGCAUAUACUGACACUGAGGGACGAAAGCUAGGGGAGCGAAUGGGAUUA
rnacentral:rRNA from 1 species